rnacentral:rRNA from 1 species
AACGAACGCUGGCGGCAUGCCUAACACAUGCAAGUCGAACGAGACCUUCGGGUCUAGUGGCGCACGGGUGCGUAACGCGUGGGAACCUGCCCUUAGGUUCGGAAUAACUCCCCGAAAGGGGUGCUAAUACCGGAUAAUGUCUUCGGACCAAAGAUUUAUCGCCUUUGGAUGGGCCCGCGUUGGAUUAGCUAGUUGGUAGGGUAAAAGCCUACCAAGGCGACGAUCCAUAGCUGGUCUGAGAGGAUGAUCAGCCACACUGGGACUGAGACACGGCCCAGACUCUGGCGGGAGGCAGCAGGGGGGAAUAUUGGACAAUGGGCGAAAGCCUGAUCCAGCAAGGCCGCGGGAGUGAUGAAGGCCUUAGGGUUGUAAAGCUCUUUUACCCGGGAUGAUAAUGACAGAACCGGGGGAAUAAGCUCCGGCUAACUCCGU